rnacentral:tRNA from 1 species
GCCUGGGUGGCUUAGUGGAUUGAGCGUCUGACUUCAGCUCAGGUCAUGAUCUCGUGGUUCGUGGGUUCGAGCCCCGCAUCGGGCU